rnacentral:lncRNA from 1 species
GUGUAAUGGAGUCUCAGACAGUUGUGGAAUUCUCUGAUGUAGCAAGGGAGAAAUGGAAAUUACCAUCAGAGAAGAUAUCUUAACUCAGGGGUCCCCAGCCUCCAGACCACAGACAAAUACCAGGCUACACAGAAAGAGGGCAGUUCUGUCCUCAAUAAAUGAGGGAAAAUCGCAAGCAUUUUGCACUGACGUGGAGAUCCCCAUGGUGCUUGAUCGGUCCACAGCAUCUGCUCCCUCUGCUCUUAGAUACAAGAUUAGCAGGAAGAACCUACAGAGAGCACCUGUCGUUACCAAGCUUCGGGGACAAAACUCAGGACCAGAUGCUGCGGUCUUCCUGUGGACGGGAUCAUCCCUUCUCUUACUUGACACUGAACUCUACCGCCUGGCGCAGGGCCUUGUCUGAGGCAAGCAAUCAGUGAUGUGAGGAACAAAAGUAUUAAUGCCUGCAUCCUGGGAAUGCAAAUAAUCCUUUACUUCUCAAUCCCUGUAGCUCCAUUUCUUCAACCAUAAAACAAGAUCCCAGCAGCCUGUUACGAAGACCAAACACAUUUCCAUUGCUAAAGUGCUGAAAACUCUGCCAAGGUCAGGUCUGAAUCAGUGUUUAUUACAUAAAAGAAUAAAAGUGAUGUGAAAGAGGCACUAUGAAGAGGAAACAAGAAAACAAGUGUUUGUGGAAGAGAAGGGAGAGGGAAGAACCUGACAGCCCACAUAAUGAAAUCUACCCGCAUAAGCUCAGAAGACUUAGCCCCAAGACAGGACAUGACUCUUGUUGAGUCUGGCAUGCAGUGGGCCUAGGAAGCCCCAGGCUUGCCGUCUUCAUGCUGUCAUUUCCCCUUUCCGGCGUUUCCGGCACCUGAUGAUGGCCUUAGAUGAAGGUUCAGACCAGGGCCCCACAGUACGUCUUCCCUGGACCAUUAUAGGGCCCUAGGCAGGCGGCCUGUCUUCAUACCCAUGGCCAAUAGCUACAGCCCCAUUGCCACAAAGACAGAUUACCUCCCCAUCCUCAUCCUCCCCUUUUUCCUGUCUUCCUUGGAAUAAAAUGGCUAUGACCUAGGCUGGAGUGUAGCUCAGUGCUGGAGCACUUACUUUGCCUAUAAAAGACACUGGUUUCGAUCCUCAGUAUCCUCCUCAAAAGCUGCCUCUUCCUUUUGUGGAUCACAGAAUCCCCGAGUCCUACUGCCUCCAUCUACCAGAAAAGACUCGGUCGUCCAUGGGACACCAUGUCCACCAGGCAUGUUCUUAAGACGACUGCUCACCCUCUUUGGGAUCAGUGUCCAAACUACUCAGCCGACUGAGCCCUCUGCUAACUCACUAGUUCAUUUAUCUGUUAAUUCAUUUGUAUAUUUGUUAACUUGGUCCCUCCCUUUUGCCCAGGACAUAGGCCAGGGACACCAACAUCACUUACACAGUGUCCCUGUGCUGAGGCAGCUCUCAGGUUAGUCUGUCAGAAACAUAACUGACAACACAGGGUAAUUCAGUGCAAAGAUAGAAAUAUGUACAAGUAGGAGAAACCAGGGGAGAGAGUCCCUCUUACCUAGGAAAAGCAGGGAGCGGUUCCCAGAAAUAGCAACCUCUGAAGUAGAUUUUAAAGGAAGAAUAGGCGAGCCGAAUCGCUUCAGUCCAAGCAGUGAAAAGGAACAAAGGGAUGAGGCGGGUGGAGUUGUACCCUAAGGUGAGAGG